GCCCGGGUGGCGAAAUCUGGUAGACGCAAGGGACUUAAAAUCCCUCGGUGGAAACACUGUACCGGUUCGACUCCGGUCCCGGGCA
rnacentral:tRNA from 1 species